rnacentral:rRNA from 1 species
GUGGGGGAUAUUGCACAAUGGGGGAAACCCUGAUGCAGCAACGCCGCGUGAAGGAUGAAGGUUUUCGGAUUGUAAACUUCUGUUCUUAGUGACGAUAAUGACGGUAGCUAAGAAGAAAGCUCCGGCUAACUACGUGCCAGCAGCCGCGGUAAUACGUAGGGAGCGAGCGUUGUCCGGAUUUACUGGGUGUAAAGGGUGCGUAGGCGGCAGAGCAAGUCAGGCGUGAAAGCCAUGGGCUUAACCCAUGAACUGCGCUUGAAACUGUUUUGCUUGAGUGAAGUAGAGGCAGGCGGAAUUCCCGGUGUAGCGGUGAAAUGCGUAGAGAUCGGGAGGAACACCAGUGGCGAAGGCGGCCUGCUGGGCUUUAACUGACGCUGAGGCACGAAAGCAUGGGUAGCAAACAGGA